rnacentral:rRNA from 1 species
GUAGGGGGCGAGCGUUGUCCGGAAUUAUUGGGCGUAAAGCGCGCGCAGGCGGUCCCUUAAGUCUGAUGUGAAAGCCCACGGCUCAACCGUGGAGGGUCAUUGGAAACUGGGGGACUUGAGUGCAGAAGAGGAGAGCGGAAUUCCACGUGUAGCGGUGAAAUGCGUAGAGAUGUGGAGGAACACCAGUGGCGAAGGCGGCUCUCUGGUCUGUAACUGACGCUGAGGCUCGAAAGCGUGGGGAGCAAACAGGAUUAGAUACCCUGGUAGUCCACGCCCUAAACGAUGUCGACUAGUCGUUCGGAGCAGUAAUGCACUGAGUGACGCAGCUAACGCGUGAAGUCGACCGCCUGGGGAGUACGGCCGCAAGGUUG